GUUUCACCAUGUUGGCCAGGCUGGUCUUGAACUCUUGAGGUCAAGUGAUCUGCUCUUCUGGGCCUCCUAAAGUGCUGGGAUUCCAGGCAUGAGCCACCAUGCCUGCUCCACAGAUUCUUUUUUCAGUAGAGAUUGUUAGAAUCCCUUGGUCCAGUCUCCUAUAUAAAUUUUUCUAACAAUUCAUUGGCAAUGAUAUAUGAUCAGAUAAAUCAGUAUUGAAACAAUGCUUCUGGAAAGUUUUAGGGCAAUUUUUGAAGAUUUUGGGGACAAAGUUUUAAUUUUUUGCACUGACUUAGGUCAGAUGAUGUGACUAAGAUCUAUCAGAUGAAGGAGAUUUUGUCCCAUGGAUCUGAAAAGCAGGCUCAUCUACUUCUAGGGCGACUUAACCUAGGGACCAGUAGAACAUUCUUGUCAGAAUAUCACAUUCUUACCCUGAGAAUAUUUUACAUUUUUGUGCUAUGACCGAACACUGAUUUGGUCUUGUAUGAAGUGUGAUUUGCUUAAUGUGACCUGCUCUUCUGAAUUUGUUUACAGGAGAUCAAAAAGAUCACAAUGAAGAACAGAAAUGCAGAGAGAGCAAAAAUAAACUUCUUAUGAGUCAAGUAGCCUACUACCUGGGCUGCCGGCUGAAGAUGGAAGUCCCUGGCUAUCUGUGUUCUGCCCCAAAUGUCAGCAUGGUGGCAUCUGAAAGGCCUCCUUCAAGAAAAAACACAGAGGUGAACAUUGUAGAAGACAUUGAGAUGUCCUGCUUUGAACAGGAAGAAAACAAACCGACUUUCAGAGCCAGCAAAAAUAGGCUUCUUAUGAGUCAGGUGGCCUACUUUCUGAACUAUUGGCUGAAGACAUACAGUAAGUUCUAUAGGUUCACCCCCAUGAAAUUGAUGAAUAAUGUCCUGUCUUGUUUUGAGAAACUAAGCUCUUUCUUUAUCAACAUUAAUUUCAUCCUUCCCAUAGUUUUAGAAAGUAGAAAUGGUUAUUUUAAUAUUUUGUUAAAUAUAGAAGACAGAGGCCAAAGUAUCUAGCAACUUUUCCACGUCUACAUUAACAUGGGUGUGGGACUGGGGUUACAAUCCCUGCUAUUGAUCUCUGACACAGGCACAGAACCACCUGUUUUUUUCAGCAAGUGGCUAAAUCAUGUUUACAGGAAUCCUUUCUGUACCAUAUAAGAUCCUGCACGCAAGUAGCAUCUAGUCUCUUGGUCUCCAUAUCUGAGGCUACUGAACUUCCAUUUGGUUCCAGUUUCUGCUUAGGCCCAGUAGGCAAAGCUGUGUUCUGGGAACACUGGGGGAAACACAGUGAUAGCACACAGUACCUCCUGUGAGGAGCUUGAGGAUUACACCUGCUUCUAAUAGAACCUGUGGUAUCUUUAAGUGGAACGCACCAUCAAGAGCAGGGAGUACCCUGCUACUGGUGCCUCAGCCUUUUUAUUAGCUGGGAUCCCUGGUGGGCACCAAAGCACUUGGCUUAUUUUUGUAUUUUUAGUAGAGGCGGGUUUUCACCAUGUUUGCCAGGCUGGUCUUGAACUCUUGAGGUCAAGUGAUCUGCCCUUCUGCAUUUUCUAAAACGCUGGAAUUUCAGGCAUGAGACACUGGGCUGGCUCCACAGAUUCUUUUUUAAGUAAAGGUUGUUAGAAUUCAUGGCUUAGUCCAGUCUCCUAUAUAAAUUUGUCUUAAGUAUUCAUUGACCAUGAUAUAUGCUGAGAUAAAUCGGUAUUGCUGCAAUGCUUCUGGAAAGCAGUUAUUGCAAUUUUUGAAGAUUUUGGGGAAAAAAAGUUUUAAUUAUUUUCACUGACUUAGGUCAGAGGAUAUGUGAUAAAGAUUAACCGGAUGAGGGAGAUUAUGUCCCAUGGAUCUGAAAAGCAGGCUCAUCUAUUUCUGAGGCCACUUAAUCUAGGGACCAGUAGAACAUUCCUGUCAGAAUAUCACAUUCUUAAACUGAGAAUAUUUUACGUCCUCGUGCUAUGACUGACACUUAUUUAGUCUUGUGUGAAGUGUGAUUUGCUUAAUGUGUCCUGCUCUUCUGAAUUUGUUUACAGAAGAUCAAAAAGAUCACGAUGAAGAACAGAAAUGCAGAGACAGCAAAAAUAAACUUCUUAUGAGUCAAGUGGCCUACUACCUGGGCUGCCGGCUGAAGACGGAAGGUAAGUUCUCUAGGUUCACUGUCACGAAAGUGCUGAACAGUGUCCUGUCUUCUUUCUGAGAAAUGAUGCACUCUCUUCUUCAAAGUUAAUUUCAUCUGUCCCAUACUUCUAGGAAAAUAGCAAUGGGUAUUUUAACAUUUUGUUAAAGA
rnacentral:lncRNA from 1 species